rnacentral:lncRNA from 1 species
UCUGGCUUCAACAAAGUCUGUAUCAGGUGGGAGAUGAUAUAUGGCUGGAAGUAUGUAAAUCCACAGGCAGGUGUUAACUGGCUGCUUUGUUAUGCAAUUAACCCACAAUUCGCAAGCACCUCCAAAUAAGUAGGUGUCAUCACCCAAAUUUUACCUGCCCAUUGGUGAAGAUUCAGCGGGAGUCAUCACAGCCCAGGCAGGCUGCCCAACUCAGCUGGAAAUCAGCAGUGUCACCAACUGGACUGGUGUGAGAGAACCAACGAUGCAGGACCAACAUUUCCAUGCAAGGGUUAUAAGAUAUUCCUUAUUCCCUCUGCCUCGCCUCGACCAUCUCCAUUAAAAGUCAGUGUCUUCUGUCUGUCUUCAUCAGAUGAGAUUUGAAUGAAGGCCUCAUAUUGAUCUCACUUAUUGCUGCAGGCUCCAGCUUCACGUUGAAACUUGAUCAAUAUGGAUUUGAGGCAGCCUGGAACAUUAAAUAAGACCUUGUUAGACUGAUAUUUUUUCUUCUGUGUUAUUUAAUUUGGAGGGGCAGGGAGCAGGAAGGCUGGAU